CACGUAGGCAACCUGCCUCGAAGUGGGGGACAACAGCCCGAAAGGGUUGCUAAUACCGCAUGUGAACAGUUGAGGGCAUCCUUGAUUGUUCAAAGCCUUGUGCGCUUCGAGAUGGGCUUGCGGCCUAUCAGGUAGUUGGUGGGGUAAUGGCCUACCAAGCCGACGACGGGUAGCUGGUCUGAGAGGACGAUCAGCCGGAUUGGGACUGAGAUACGGCCCAG
rnacentral:rRNA from 1 species